UCCGAUGGUGAACCUGCGGAGGGAUCAUUACCGAGUUUACAACUCCCAAACCCCUGUGAACAUACCACUUGUUGCCUCGGCGGAUCAGCCCGCUCCCGGUAAAACGGGACGGCCCGCCAGAGGACCCCUAAACUCUGUUUCUAUAUGUAACUUCUGAGUAAAACCAUAAAUAAAUCAAAACUUUCAACAACGGAUCUCUUGGUUCUGGCAUCGAUGAAGAACGCAGCAAAAUGCGAUAAGUAAUGUGAAUUGCAGAAUUCAGUGAAUCAUCGAAUCUUUGAACGCACAUUGCGCCCGCCAGUAUUCUGGCGGGCAUGCCUGUUCGAGCGUCAUUUCAACCCUCAAGCACAGCUUGGUGUUGGGACUCGCGUUAAUUCGCGUUCCCCAAAUUGAUUGGCGGUCACGUCGAGCUUCCAUAGCGUAGUAGUAAAACCCUCGUUACUGGUAAUCGUCGCGGCCACGCCGUUAAACCCCAACUUCUGAAUGUUGACCUCGGAUCAGGUAGGAAUACCCGCUGAACUUAAGCAUAUCAAUAA
rnacentral:rRNA from 1 species